GACGAACCGAGCGAACGUUGUUCGGAAUCACUGGGCUUAAAGGGCGCGUAGGCGGGUGCUCAAGUCUGUGGUGAAAUCCUCCGGCUCAACCGGAGAACGGCCAUGGAUACUGGGUGCCUCGAGGGUGAUAGGGGUAGUGCGGAACUAUCGGUGGAGCGGUGAAAUGCGUUGAUAUCUGGAGGAACACCGGUGGCGAAGGCGG
rnacentral:rRNA from 1 species